rnacentral:rRNA from 1 species
UACAUGGGGUGCAAACGUUGCUCGGAAUUAUUGGGCAUAAAGCGCGCGUAGGCGGUUAUCUAAGUCGGAUGUGAAAGCCCUCGGCUUAACUGAGGAAGUGCACCCGAAACUGGAUAGCUAGAGUACGAAAGAGGGUCGCGGAAUUCCCGGUGUAGAGGUGAAAUUCGUAGAUAUCGGGAGGAACACCGGUGGCGAAGGCGGCGACCUGGGUCGAGACUGACGCUGAGGCGCGAAAGCGUGGGGAGCAAACAGG